AGCCUUCAGCAUAUAGUAUUGAAGGUCUCGCCUGCCCAGUGACCACAAGUUCAACGGCCGCGGUAUACUAACCGUGCAAAGGUAGCGAAAUCACUUGUCUCCUAAAUAGAGACCAGUAUGAAUGGCUAAAUGAGGGUCAAACUGUCUCCUUCAGCCAAUCAGUGAAAUUGAUCCAUCAGUACAAAAGCUGAUAUACCCACACAAGACGAGAAGACCCUGUGGAGCUUAAGAUGAAAACCACAUUACAUGGACUCCCAUCUUCAGUUGGGGCGACUACGGAAAAAAACAAAACUUCCAAGUCAGAGAACUCCACUCCGCUAAGACUAACAUGUCAAUACAUGACCCAGUGAUACACUGAACAACGAACCAAGUUACCCCAGGGAUAACAGCGCAAUCUUCUUCUAGAGUCCCCAUC
rnacentral:rRNA from 1 species